UUGUGCUUGCGUCAUGCUUCUGACAGUCUCACCAACUUGACUUGAUCCGAAAUCCCCUCUUUCUACUUCAUCCUGCUGUGGACAGGGGAACCUCCCUCGGGGCCUCGACGAAUGCUCCUUUUGUGCACCUUCAGGCUUUCAUGGAUGAGCAGGGAGACCGUCUGGGAACGUCCUUAACCGUGAUAACUCUCGUCUCCUCGAUCCCAAGAGACAGCGGUCCGCGGAAAGGUUCUAUGCGAUAGAGGACCGUCCCUCCCAUUUCUUUGAUUAUUAUUAUUUUUGUACUGCCAAUACUUGUCGUCGUGUGUUCCCCUACAUGUAUGUAUUUUCGCCAUACGCUUCUGUCUGUUUCCGUCUCGAGCAUCUUGGAUCUACUCCAUUCCUGCUUCUUGCUUGUACUUUAUUUUUGUUUAGCUCUAUUUAUUUUUACCUUCUGGAGUUUUAACUGCCCCGGAAUCUCCCCAUUCUUGGGGGCCCAUCUUUACUUUGUGAGGGCUUGUCCUCAUUCUUUUCCUUCUUUGUCCACGCCUGUUCUGUCUUGCUCCGGGAACCUUCUCUCUUCCCGCUUAAUCUGGGAAUCCUACCCAGCGUCGCAACCCCG
rnacentral:lncRNA from 1 species